GGCUGGUCUGAGUGCAGUGGUGUUCACAACUAAUUGAGCACAACCAGUUUCCAAUUGGUUCCUUCUCCACUCCCACUGUUUCACCUGACUAUUAA
ensembl:misc_RNA Y_RNA Y RNA